GACGAACGCUGGCGGCGUGCCUAAUACAUGCAAGUAGGACGCAGUUGCGAACGGGUGAGUAACGCGUAGGUAACUACCUAUUAGUGGGGGAUAACUAUUGGAAACGAUAGCGAAUACCGCAUACUAGUAGAUGUACCUGCGUUGUAUUGGCUAGGAGGUAGGGGAAUGGCCUACCUAGGCAACGGUACAUAGCCGACCUGAGAUGGGUAUCGGCCAAACUGGGAAUGGGACAACGCCCAGACGCCUACCGGAGGCAGCAGGAGGGAAUCAUCGGAAAUGGGGGGAACCCUGACCGAGCAACGCCGCGUGAGUUAAGAAGGGUUUCGGAUCGUAAAGCUCUGUUGUUAAGGAAGCGGUACUUAACCAGAAAGGGACGGCUAACUACGUGCCAGCAGCCGCGGUAAUUC
rnacentral:rRNA from 1 species